rnacentral:lncRNA from 1 species
UGUCAGUGUAAGACCAUGUCUACGACAUGGCAUCGGCACAGAUACACUAGAACUUGUGUAAGACCAUGUCUGGGACAUGGCGUCAAUGUCUGACCCCACAUCACAUUGAAGGCUAUAUGAGUAUCCGAUAAUAAUCCAAAUGGUUCAAUGGUAAAAGUAUGAUUUAAAUUUAACUAGGAAAGUGUAAUCGUGUUAUGAGUGGC